rnacentral:tRNA from 1 species
GGAGGCGGAUAGGUGCUGGUGUGCCUGCUGGACUUCAAAUCCAGUCUGUCCCGGUUUCCGGGAUAGGUAGGUUCGAUUCCUACACGCCUCCGCCA